UGGAGCAACUCUCUUCUUCUCAACUUAUGAAAUAUCAAAUCUAGAAUCAUUUAAUCUUGGUGACAAUUUAAGCUUUCUCGCAUUUUAGUUUCUUUGCAUAAUAAAGCUCUAUAUGAGCUAUCUCCUUCUUAGUUUCAUAUUCCUAUGUUAAUAAGUUCUCUACGAGCAUUAAUCUCAUUGUCUUGAGAUUGUCUACAAUUGACAAUUUGUUACGAAAUGAUGUUGAGAACGGAGCACUAAACGGUUCUUUCGACGUUAGAGAGGUAUCAAUCAAGAUGGUGGGUGAAACGGAAUCCGAGGCCGUAAAAGAACUCGGGUUAUGCUGGAAUGCUUUCCGAUCCAGUUGGUUUCAGUUCUCUUACAACAUUCCUGGGACAACUGUUUAUCGAUUCGUUAAGUCUCGGAGGAAGGCUGCGAAGCUGCUAACGGCCUUGAUUCUGAAGAAGAAAGCAUCAAAAGAAGGACUUGGCGAUUUCUUGGACAGUUGGACAUUAUAUUUGAUGAAAUGGAAAAGGAUGGGGCCGCUUUAGACAUAGACAGAGCCGUGAACUUGAUAUUCACCUUCUUCAUACUCUCCCAAGAGACAACUCCCGGUGUUCUAGGAGCGGUUGUGAAGCUUGUAGCAGACCACCCCAGCGUUAUGGAAGAACUACAGAGAGUGCACGAGGCGAUUGUUCGAAAUCGAGCUGAUAAAGACACUGGAAUCACAUGGGAAAAGAAUACAAAUCUAUGACAUUCACUCACAUGGUCAUCAAAGAGUCGCUUAGGUUUACUAGUACACAACCUACCGUGCAUAGAAUACAUGCUCAGGACGUUCAGAUUGGAGAUUAUACAUUACCUGCUGGGUGGCUAUUUUUUGGCAUUCCGCAAGUUCAUUUUGAUGAAGAAAAGUAUGGUGACCCACUUACUUUUAAUCCAUGGAGGUGACAGGGAAAAGAUAUACACGGUACGGUAUCUAGGGAUUCAGGGCCGGCCCAAGUUCUUUUGCUACCUAAAGCAAAAAUGUGUUUGGCCCAUUUAAGAAUAUCUGUUGGAAGAAAAAAGCAUAAAUUUUAACAAAAACUAGAUUCGAACCCAGCACGUAGAACAUGACAAAUAGUGGCAUUGACCACUAUACCACCAACAAUUUUGAAAUAUGA